GAUGAACGCUGGCGGCGUGCCUAAUACAUGCAAGUCGAGCGAACGGACGAGAAGCUUGCUUCUCUGAUGUUAGCGGCGGACGGGUGAGUAACACGUGGAUAACCUACCUAUAAGACUGGGAUAACUUCGGGAAACCGGAGCUAAUACCGGAUGAUAUUUUGAACCGCAUGGUUUAAAAGUGAAAGACGGUCUUGCUGUCACUUAUAGAUGGAUCCGCGCUGCAUUAGCUAGUUGGUAAGGUAACGGCUUACCAAGGCAACGAUGCAUAGCCGACCUGAGAGGGUGAUCGGCCACACUGGAACUGAGACACGGUCCAGACUCCUACGGGAGGCAGCAGUAGGGAAUCUUCCGCAAAGGGCGAAAGCCUGACGGAGCAACGCCGCGUGAGUGAUGAAGGUCUUCGGAUCGUAAAACUCUGUUAUUAGGGAAGAACAUAUGUGUAAGUAACUGUGCACAUCUUGACGGUACCUAAUCAGAAAGCCACGGCUAACUACGUG
rnacentral:rRNA from 1 species